AUAUCAAUAAGCGGAGGAAAAGAAACCAACAGGGAUUGCCCUAGUAACGGCGAGUGAAGCGGCAACAGCUCAAAUUUGAAAUCUGGCGCAAGCCCGAGUUGUAAUUUGUAGAGGAUGCUUCUAGGCAGCGGCCGGUCUAAGUCUCUUGGAACAGGGCGUCAUAGAGGGUGAGAAUCCCGUAUGUGACCGGCUGGCACCUUAUACGUAGCUCCUUCGACGAGUCGAGUUGUUUGGGAAUGCAGCUCUAAAUGGGAGGUAAAUUUCUUCUAAAGCUAAAUACCGGCCAGAGACCGAUAGCGCACAAGUAGAGUGAUCGAAAGAUGAAAAGCACUUUGGAAAGAGAGUUAAAAAGCACGUGAAAUUGUUGAAAGGGAAGCGCUUGCAACCAGACUUGUUGGCGGUGUUCCGCCGGUCUUCUGACCGGUCUACUCGCCGCCCGCAGGCCAGCGUCGUCUGGGGCCGCCGGAGAAAGGCGUUGGGAAUGUAGCUCCCUCGGGAGUGUUAUAGCCCAUCGCACAAUACGGCGCGCGCCGGGCGAGGUCCGCGCUUCGGCAAGGACGCUGGCGUAAUGGUCGUAAGCGG
rnacentral:rRNA from 1 species